AGGGGAACAACAGCUGGGAACGGCUGCUAAUACCCCAUAUGCUGAGGAGCAAAAGGAGGAAUCCGCCCAAGGAGGGGCUCGCGUCUGAUUAGUUACUUGGUGAGGCAAUGGCUUACCAAGGCGACGAUCAGUAGCUGGUCCAAGAGGAUGAUCAGCCGCACUGGGACUGAGACACGGCCCAGACUCCUACGGGAGGCAGCGCUGGGGGAUUUUCCGCAGUGGACGAAAGCCUGACGGAUCAUUGCCGCGUGAAGGCCUAAGGCCCACGGCUCAUGAACUUCUUUUCUAGGAGAAGAAAAAAUGACGGUAUUUGAGGAAUAACCAUCGGCUAACUCUGUGCCAGCUGCCGAGGGAAGACGGAGGAUGCAAGCGUUAUCCGGAAUGAUUGGGCGUAAAGCGUCUGUAGGUGGCUAUUCAAGUCCUCCGUCAAAUCCCAGGGCCCAACCCUGGCCAGGGGGGGGAAACUACCUAGCUGGAGUACGGUAGGGGCAGAGGGAAUUUCCGGUGGAGCGGUGAAAUGCAUUGAGAUCGGAAAGAACACCAACGGUGAAAGCACUCUGCUGGGCCGACACUGACACUGA
rnacentral:rRNA from 1 species